rfam:Streptomyces sp. Amel2xC10 genome assembly, contig: K375DRAFT_scaffold00004.4
CAGCGCACUCCGGGGUCGGUGAAAGUCCGAACCGGCGGUUACAGUCCGCGACCCGGUCACGUCCAGUGACCGGUUGACCAGGUGAAAUUCCUGGACCGACGGUUAAAGUCCGGAUGGGAGGCAGUGCGCGG